UGUCCGUAAUGUCCCAAAAAGUUGACUCACAUUUUUUUUUUCCCCUUCUUUUUUCCAUUUUUGUGUGACAAAUAUUGGUUAUUAUAACAACAACAAAACAGCAGAAACAAAGGGCAAAUGAAGUUUAUGUUGCUUUGUGGAUCAGACAAUUGAAGUCUAUCAACAAUUUUGUGGCAGAAAGAGUAGGUUCUGGUGCAAGAAAACUACUGUCACAGAUCUUGGUUUGAUUUUGUUCCGGUUCGGGUUCACCGUUCGCAUGCUUCAGCCGCUGUCUCUCAACUCUCAAGCUUCCCCCCCCCCCCCGGGCCCUCCGUCUCUCUCUCUGUGACUGCUAACUUGUAUGUAUUGGACCUUAACAUUUAGCAAGAACAAAGUUCAAGAAACAUGCUUCCUUAGUCAUCAGGUCUCUUUUUUGAAAGAAGAGAGUUGAUGGGAAUCGGUGGAUUAGGCAAAAAGAAAAUAGGUAAAGAAUGUAUGGAGAAGCACAUUUUAAGACAAUGGUGACUUCGACCCCCGAUGUUCACUCCACGGAUACGUUUGCUCGCUGUUUAAUUCUCCAAACUAGAAUUAUAAAUGCAAUACCAUAUUGGGGGAGCAUAGCCCUUAUAAGGGUCCUAAUUGAUCGUAAUCAUGUUCUUUUACAAGAAGUUCUUGCUAUUGAUCAACAAAUUGAUGUACUGCAUCAGCAGAUAGAGGGACUCCAAGCAGACAACGAUCAUCUUCAAGGACUAAAUCAUAAUUUGGAAGCACACAAUGCAAAUCUCCAAACAGAAAGAGCACAACAGUCUCCGGGAAAGCAUCCACGCGCUGAAGCAAAUUCUGACUAACCACGCCAUUGAAUUUCCACCCGAUAUAUGAAAAGUUUAGGAAAAUCAAAAUUGAAAAGAUGAGAAUGCAAUCUGUGUUUAAAUCUAUAUAGAGAUAUAUGCAAUACCAUAUUUGGGGAGCAUAGCCCUUAUAAGGGUCCUGAUUGAUCGUAAUCAUGUUCCUGUACAAGAAGUUCUUGCUAUUGAUCAACAAAUUGAUGUACUGCAUCAGCAAAUAGAGGGACUCCAAGCAGACAAUGAUCAUCUUGAAGGACUAAAUCAUAAUUUGGGAGCACACAAUGCAAAUCUCCAAGCCCAAAGAGCACAAUUCCAGCACAGAGAGGCACGUCUCCGGGAAAGCAUCCAGGCGCUGAAGCAAAUUCUGACUAACAACGGCAUUGAAUUUCCACCCGAUAUAUGGAGGGGCACGUCUCCGGGAAAGCAUCCAGGCGCUGAAGCAAAUUCUGACUAACCUCGGCAUUGAAAUUCCACCCGAUAAAUAGAAAGUGUAGGUAACUUAGGUAAAACUUCAAACUUCUUAUUGUCUUGUUUUUUUAAGGAAAAACAAUAUCAUGUGUUUAAAUUGGUAGAUACAAAACAGUGUCUUAGUUUUUUUUUUUUUUUUUUUUUGAAGGAAAAUCAAAAUUGAAAAGAUGAGAAUGCAAUCUGUGUUUAAAUAUAUAUAGAGAUAUAAUAUAGAUUGUAGAUGCUUGUCAUUUUUUGUUUCAUC